GGAGUUGUGGCUCAGUGGUAGAGCGCUUGCCUAGCAUGUGGGAGGCCCUGAGUUUGAUCCUCAGCACCA
rfam:Ictidomys tridecemlineatus contig062254, whole genome shotgun sequence.